GAAGAGCCUCAAUGAAGGCUUCCGGACGAGGGGUGCCGUACCCGGCGAGCGAAAAGACGGCCCAGG
rnacentral:ncRNA from 1 species